UUUGAUAGUACCUUACUACUUGGAUAACCGUGGUAAUUCUAGAGCUAAUACAUGCUAAAAACCCCGACUUCGGAAGGGGUGUAUUUAUUAGAUUAAAAGCCAAUGCCCUCCGGGGCUUACUGGUGAUUCAUGAUAACUUCUCGAAUCGCACGGCCUUGCGCCGGCGAUGGUUCAUUCAAAUUUCUUCCCUAUCAACUUUCGAUGUUUGGGUAUUGGCCAAACAUGGUUGCAACGGGUAACGGAGGGUUAGGGCUCGACCCCGGAGAAGGAGCCUGAGAAACGGCUACUACAUCCAAGGAAGGCAGCAGGCGCGUAAAUUACCCAAUGGCGACACGCCGAGGUAGUGAAGAAAAAUACUGAUACAGGGCUCUUUAGGGUCUUGUAAUUGGAAUGAGUACAAUUUAAAUCCCUUAACGAGGAACAAUUGGAGGGCAAGUCUGGUGCCAGCAGCCGCGGUAAUUCCAGCUCCAAUAGCGUAUAUUAAAGUUGUUGUGGUUAAAAAGCUCGUAGUUGAACCUUGGGCCUGGCUGGCCGGUCCGCCUCACCGCGUGCACUGGUCCGGCCGGGCCUUUCCCUCUGUGGAACCUCAUGCCCUUCACUGGGCGUGGCGGGGAAACAGGACUUUUACUUUGAAAAAAUUAGAGUGCUCCAGGCAGGCCUAUGCUCGAAUACAUUAGCAAGGGAAUAAUAAAAUAGGACGUGCGGUUCUAUUUUGUUGGUUUCUAGGACCGCCGUAAUGAUUAAUAGGGACAGUCGGGGGCAUCAGUAUUCAAUUGUCAGAGGUGAAAUUCUUGGAUUUAUUGAAGACUAACUACUGCGAAAGCAUUUGCCAAGGAUGUUUUCAUUAAUCAGGAACGAAAGUAAGGGGAUCGAAGACGAUCAGAUACCGUCGUAGUCUUUACCAUAAACUAUGCCGACUAGGGAUCGGACGGUGUUAUUUUUUGACCCGUUCGGCACCUUACGAGAAAUCAAAGUGCUUGGGCUCCAGGGGGAGUAUGGUCGCAAGGCUGAAACUUAAAGAAAUUGACGGAAGGGCACCACCAGGGGUGGAGCCUGCGGCUUAAUUUGACUCAACACGGGGAAACUCACCAGGUCCAGACACAAUGAGGAUUGACAGAUUGAGAGCUCUUUCUUGAUUUUGUGGGUGGUGGUGCAUGGCCGUUCUUAGUUGGUGGGGUGACUUGUCUGCUUAAUUGCGAUAACGAACGAGACCUUAACCUGCUAAAUAGCCCGUAUUGCUUUGGCAGUACGCUGGCUUCUUAGAGGGACUAUCGGCUCAAGCCGAUGGAAGUUUGAGGCAAUAACAGGUCUGUGAUGCCCUUAGAUGUUCUGGGCCGCACGCGCGCUG
rnacentral:rRNA from 1 species